CUACGGGCGGCUCCAGUGGGGAAUAUUGGACAAUGGGGGAAACCCUGAUCCAGCAAUGCCGCGUGUGUGAAGAAGGCCUGCGGGUUGUAAAGCACUUUCGGUUGGGAGGACUGCUUCUAGCACUAAUAUUGUUGGAAGUUGACGUUACCUUCAGAAGAAGCACCGGCUAACUCCGUGCCAGCAGCCGCGGUAAUACGGAGGGGUGCAAGCGUUAAUCGGAAUUACUGGGCGUAAAGCGCGCGUAGGCGGCUAGAUCAGUCGGGUGUGAAAGCCCCGGGCUUAACCUGGGAACUGCAUCCGAUACUGUCUAGCUUGAGUACGGGAGAGGAGAGUGGAAUUCCACAUGUAGCGGUGAAAUGCGUAGAUAUGUGGAGGAACACCAAUGGCGAAGGCAGCUCUCUGGCCUGAUACUGACGCUGAGGUGCGAAAGCGUGGGGAGCAAACAGGAUUAGAUACCCCUGUAGUC
rnacentral:rRNA from 1 species